GAUGAACGCUGGCGGCGUGCUUAACACAUGCAAGUCGAACGAUGAAGCCCAGCUUGCUGGGUGGAUUAGUGGCGAACGGGUGAGUAACACGUGAGUAACCUGCCCUUAACUCUGGGAUAAGCCUGGGAAACUGGGUCUAAUACCGGAUAGGAGCGUCCACCGCAUGGUGGGUGUUGGAAAGAUUUAUCGGUUUUGGAUGGACUCGCGGCCUAUCAGCUUGUUGGUGAGGUAAUGGCUCACCAAGGCGACGACGGGUAGCCGGCCUGAGAGGGUGACCGGCCACACUGGGACUGAGACACGGCCCAGACUCCUACGGGAGGCAGCAGUGGGGAAUAUUGCACAAUGGGCGCAAGCCUGAUGCAGCGACGCCGCGUGAGGGACGACGGCCUUCGGGUUGUAAACCUCUUUCAGUAGGGAAGAAGCGAAAGUGACGGUACCUGCAGAAGAAGCACCGGCUAACUACGUG
rnacentral:rRNA from 1 species